GAAAGCAUCUAAGCGGGAAGCGAGCCCUGAGAUGAGUCUUCCCUGAUACUUUAAGUAUCCUAAAGGGUUGUUCGAGACUAGAACGUUGAUAGGCAGGGUGUGUAAGCGCUGUGAGGCGUUGAGCUAAGCUGUACUAAUUGCCCGUGAGGCUUAACCAUACAACACCCAAAGGGUUUUG
rnacentral:rRNA from 1 species